AGUGGAUGGGGAGCAACCUAGUUGUGCGUGUGUAAAGGUAGUGCCAAGAAAAGCGGUGAUCAUGAUGAAAAUCAAUUCCCGGUACCCGAAACCGACACAGGUGGGCAAGUAGAGAAUACUAAGGGGCGCGAGGUAACUCUCUCCAAGGAACUCGGCAAAAUGACCCCGUAACUUAGGGAGAAGGGGUGCCACCGAGAGGUGGUCGCAGUGAAGAGGCCCAGGCGACUGUUUAGCAAAAACAUAGGUCUCUGCAAACUCGAAAGAGGAGGUAUAGGGGCUGACGCCUGCCCAGUGCCGGAAGGUUAAAGAAGUUGGUCAGUCUUAGGAUGAAGCUAGCGACUGAAGCCCCGGUGAACGGCGGCCGUAACUAUAACGGUCCUAAGGUAGCGAAAUUCCUUGUCGGGUAGGUUCCGACCCGCACGAAAGGCGUAACGAUCUGGGCGCUGUCUCGGAGAGAGGCUCGGCGAAAUAGGAUUGUCUGUGAAGAUACGGACUACCUGCAUUUGGACAGAAAGACCCUAUGAAGCUUUACUAUAGCUUGGAAUUGUGUUCGGGCUUCCUGUGCGCAGGAUAGGUGGGAGGCGAAGAAGGUAUUCUUGUGGGGAUACUGGAGCCAACGGUGAGAUACCACUCUCAGGAGGCUAGAAUUCUAACUUAAUUAAGGACAGUUUCAGGUGGGUAGUUUGACUGGGGCGAUCGCCUCCAAAAAGGUAACGGAGGCGUACAAAGGUUCCCUCAGACUGGUUGGAAAUCAGUCGCAGAGUGCAAAGGCAGAAGGGAGCUUGACUGCGAGAAGUACAGUUCGAGCAGGGUGGAAACACGGUCUUAGUGAUCCGACGGUGCUGUGUGGAAGGGCCGUCGCUCAACGGAUAAAAGUUACUCUAGGAUAACAGGCUGAUCUCCCCCAAGAGUUCACAUCGACGGGGAGGUUUGGCACCUCGAUGUCGGCUCAUCGCAACCUGGGGCGGAAGUACGUCCCAAGGGUUGGGCUGUUCGCCCAUUAAAGCGGUACGUGAGCUGGGUUCAGAACGUCGUGAGACAGUUCGGUCCAUAUCCGAUGUAGGCGUGAGAAUAUUGAGAGGAGCCUUCCUUAGUACGAGAGGACCGGGAAGGACGCACCGCUGGUGUACCUGUUAUGAUGCCAAUUGUAAACGCAGGGUAGCCAAGUGCGGAGAGGAUAACCGCUGAAAGCAUCUAAGUGGGAAGCCCACCUCAAGAUGAGUAUUCUGGUGUAAGGUCACGGGAAGACGACCCGUAAAUAGGCACGAGGUGGAAGUGCAGAGAUGUAUGAAGCCGAAGUGUACUAAUAGACCGUCGGCUUGACC
rnacentral:rRNA from 1 species